rnacentral:rRNA from 1 species
CUUGGUCAUUUAGAGGAAGUAAAAGUCGUAACAAGGUUUCCGUAGGUGAACCUGCGGAAGGAUCAUUAUCGAAUCUGAAAGGGGGUUGUUGCUGGCCUUUAGGGGCAUGUGCACGCCUCUGCUCUAUUCUCCUUCAACCACUGUGCACCCUUUGUAGGCUGGAGAAAUCUGGUCUAUGUUUUUUUAUACACACCUAAACAAGUAUUAGAAUGUCAUACUUUUCAGUACACUCGAGAGGGUGGAAAAAAAAUUAUACAACUUUCAACAACGGAUCUCUUGGCUCUCGCAUCGAUGAAGAACGCAGCGAAAUGCGAUAAGUAAUGUGAAUUGCAGAAUUCAGUGAAUCAUCGAAUCUUUGAACGCACCUUGCGCUCCUUGGUAUUCCGAGGAGCAUGCCUGUUUGAGUGUCAUUAAAUUCUCAACCCCCCGACGGAUUUGUUUCUGACGUGGGGCUUGGAUGUGAGGGUGUGCUGGACUCCAUUAGGAGGUCAGCUCCCUUUGAAUGCAUUAGCGGAUUUUACCAUCGUGGAUAGGCUUCGGACUGAUAAUUAUCUAUGCCGUCGCCGUGAAGCGGUAAUCUGCUCAUAACCGUCUUUGGACAAUUUUUUGACCAUUUGACCUCAAAUCAGGUAGGACUACCCGCUGAACUUAAGCAUAUCAAUAAGCGGAGGAAAAGAAACUAACAAGGAUUCCCCUAGUAACUGCGARGUGAAGCGGGAAAAGCUCAAAUUUGAAAUCUGGCGGCUCCGCCGUCCGAGUUGUAUUCUGGAGAAGCGUUUUCCGUGCUGGACCGUGUACAAGUCUCCUGAAUCUCUAAUAAAUUCCGGCCGGCCCAGGCCCCCUUUGGCAGGUCCGACCAUAUGGGGGGAGUUGAAAUCCAUACGCAUUGGAAAUUGCAUAGCUUGAAAGGU